rnacentral:rRNA from 1 species
AUGAGCGUUCGGCUCGGAAGAGCCUCCAAGCCCACGGCUGCCAUGGCCACCACCGUGCUCUCCCUCCCACCAAGCCAAAUCCCCUACAAAAAGUUCUCACCCACUCUACCCGCCACCUCGUCUCCAGACCACACCUCCUUGAAGCAGCUAUGCAAGGAAGGCAACCUGCGGCAAGCCCUUCGACUGCUCACCGCCGGAGCGCCGGGCCGCCCCCCUUCCCAGUACCACUACGGCUUGGUCCUUGACCUCGUCGCGGCCAAGAAGGCGGCCGCGCAGGGCGCCCAGGUCCAUGCGCAUGCCGUGGCCACCGGUUCUUUGGAUGGCGACGACGGGUUCCUCGCGACCAAGCUGCUCUUCAUGUAUGGCAAGUGCGGGCGCGUCGAGGACGCACGCCGCCUGUUCGACGGAAUGUCUGCCCGGACAGUCUUCUCCUGGAACGCCCUUAUCGGGGCGUACCUGUCGUCGGGGAGCGCUAGUGAAGCCUUGGGUGUGUACAGGGGGAUGCGGUGGUCUGCGGCAACGGGGGUGGCGCCUGAUGGGUGCACGCUCGCUUCGGUGCUCAAGGCGUGUGGGAUGGAGGGGCAUGGUCGUUGCGGGCGGGAGGUGCACGGGCUGGCGGUUAAGCACAGGCUUGAUAGCAGCACCCUUGUGGCCAAUGCGCUCAUUGCGAUGUAUGCCAAGUGUGGCAUUCUAGAUUCUGCGUUGCAGGUGUUUGAGCGUCUGCAAGGCGGGAGGGAUGCCGCGUCGUGGAAUUCGGUGAUAUCAGGUUGUCUGCAGAACGGGAUGUUCUUGAAAGCUUUGGACUUGUUUCGAGGGAUGCAGAGGGCUAGUUUAAGUAUGAAUUCUUACACAACCGUUGGGGUGCUACAGAUCUGUACAGAGUUAGCCCAGCUGAAUCUUGGCAGGGAGGUACAUGCUGCAAUUUUGAAGUGUGGCAGUGAGGUUAAUAUCCAGCACAAUGCUUUGCUUGUUAUGUACACAAAAUGUGGCCAUGUGUACAGCGCUCUUAGAGUAUUCCGUGAGAUUAAUGAGAAAGACUACAUUUCAUGGAACUCGAUGCUGUCCUGUUAUGUCCAAAACAGUUUGUAUGCCGAGGCCAUCAAAUUUAUUGCUGAAAUGUUUCAAGGUGGUUUUCAGCCUGACAAUGCUUGUAUUGUGAGCUUGUGUUCUGCAGUGGGCCACUUAGGCUGGUUAAUCAAUGGCAGAGAGGUUCAUGCAUAUGCUAUAAAGAAGUUGCUGGAUACAGAUACGCAGGUUGGAAAUACAUUGAUGGACAUGUACAUGAAGUGUCAGUACACAGAGUACUCUACCCAUGUAUUUGAAAGGAUGAGGAUUAAAGACCACAUAUCAUGGACUACAAUUAUUACUUGUUAUGCUCGGAGUUCCCAGCAUUUUGAGGCACUGGAAAAGUUUAGAGAAGCGCGGAAAGAGGGCAUUAAGGUAGAUCCCAUGAUGAUCGGAAGUAUUAUAGAAGCAUGCAGUGGUUUGAAAACAAGUUUGCUGGCAAAGCAACUGCAUUCGUUUGCUAUUAGAAAUGAUUUGCUUGAUUUAGUACUGAAGAACAGAAUCCUAGAUAUAUAUGGGCAGUGUGGAGAGGUUUACCAUUCACUUAGAAUGUUUGAAACAGUAGAGGAAAAAGAUAUUGUCACAUGGACCAGUAUGAUAAACUGUUACGCAAACAGCGGGCUGUUAAAUGAAGCUGUUGCCUUGUUUGCAGAGAUGCAAAAUACAGAUAUUCAACCUGAUUCUGUAGCACUAGUAAGUAUUCUCGGGGCUGUAGCUGAUUUGUCAUCCUUGGCAAAAGGGAAGGAAGUUCAUGGCUUUCUCAUCAGAAGGAAUUUUCUUAUGGAAGGUGCCACGGUUAGUUCCCUGGUAGACAUGUAUUCUGGUUGCGGAAGCAUGAGCAAUGCUCUCAAAGUAUUUAAUGGAGCGAAAUGUAAAGACGUAGUUCUCUGGACAGCGAUGAUUAAUGCAGCUGGGAUGCAUGGUUAUGGCAAGCAAGCUAUAGAUCUUUUCAAGAGAAUGGUAGAAACUGGUGUUGCUCCUGAUCAUGUUUCAUUUCUCGCUCUUCUAUAUGCCUGUAGUCAUUCAAAGCUUGUCGAUGAGGGAAAAUGUUAUCUAGAUAUGAUGGAGACCAUGUACAGGUUAGAACCAUGGCAGGAACACUAUGCUUGUGUGGUUGAUCUUCUUGGCCGCUCAGGCAAGACCGAGGAUGCGUACGAGUUCAUCAAGUCUAUGCCUUUGGAACCAAAAUCGGUGGUGUGGUGCGCACUCCUUGGGGCAUGCCGUAUACACAAGACCCACGAGCUCGCUAUGGUUGCAGCCGAUAAGCUUCUUGAGUUGGAACCAGAUAACCCAGGUAAUUAUGUCCUUGUAUCAAACAUUUUCGCUGAGAUGGGCAAGUGGAGCAAUGCCAAGGAGGUCAAAGCCAAGAUUUCAGAACGUGGGUUGAGGAAAGACCCGGCCUGCAGCUGGAUUGAGAUUGGAAACAACGUCCACACCUUCACCGCAAGGGAUCAUACGCACAGAGACGCAGAGAGAAUCCACCUCAAACUCGCCGAAAUAACAGAAAAACUGAGAAAAGAAGGUGGGUACAUUGAGGAUACAAGGUUUGUUCUGCAUGACGUUAGUGAAGAAGAGAAGGUGGAUGUUCUGCACAGGCACAGCGAGAGGCUCGCGAUCGCAUUCGGUUUGAUCAGCACACACCCAGGUACGCCUCUAAGGAUAACCAAGAACCUCAGAGUUUGUGGCGACUGCCAUGAGUUCACCAAGCUAGCGUCGAAGCUGUUCGAGAGGGAAAUCGUGGUCCGUGACGCCAACAGAUUCCACCAUUUCAGAGCUGGAUCUUGUUCCUGUGGCGACUUCUGGUGA